rnacentral:miRNA from 1 species
UGAGGUGGGAUGGAAAGGGAGAGAAAAGGGAAAUUGCAUGGUAAUGGAGGGAGACCCUCCAUUACCAUGCAAUUUCCCUUUUCUCUCCCUUUCCAUCCCACCUCAUGUAUCUGUUU